rnacentral:rRNA from 1 species
ACUCCUACGGGAGGCAGCAGUGGGGAAUAUUGCACAAUGGGGCGCAAGCCUGAUGCAGCAACGCCGUGUGAGUGAAGAAGGUUUUCGGAUCGUAAAACUCUGUCCUAAGGGAAGAAACAAAUGACGGUACCUUAGGAGGAAGCCCCGGCUAACUACGUGCCAGCAGCCGCGGUAAUACGUAGGGGGCAAGCGUUAUCCGGAAGUCACUGGGGCGUAAAGGGUGCGUAGGCGGCUUAGCAAGACCAGGGGGUGAAAGGCAUUGGGCUCAACCAAAUGUAAAGCCUUUUGGAACUAGUUAAGGCUUUGAGUGCAGGAGAGGUAAAGUGGAAUUCCUAGUGUAGAGGUGAAAUUCGGUAGAUAUUAGGAGGAACACCAGUGGCGAAGGCGACUUACUGGACUGU